GUGGUCAUGAUGGGGAAGAAGAGCACAUGAAUAACUAACUCAUAUCUCAAGUGCAGAUAAAAAAAAUGAAAAUUUGAGAAUGGUGUACAUGAGUUAGUAAUGCACGUGCCCUGCUUCUCCAUCAAGCUCAACACUCAUCUUCUCAAUCCACA
rnacentral:pre_miRNA from 1 species